AUGGACACACGCCCCAAGGUAUCCUGCAACAUUCACUUGGUAGAGCACACACUCGUAAUAAGGGUAAAACGCGUUAAAAGAGUGCAAGGAGAAUGAAAAGAAAACAGAAAAAAAAAUCUCACACAAUAGGUUCACAUUGCUUUUAUAAUUCAUGGCUGUUGUUAUGUACAUAAAUAAUAAUAAAGGACAAUUUGCCACUAUGAAUUUCGUGACUAACUAGCUUUACAAUAUAAAAUAUGCAAGCAAAUUUAUGGCAUCGUGCGUUCGUCCGUCGUCCUCGUCGUACAUCGUAGUCGCUCAUCCAAAGUCUAAAUGAAGUAUUUUUUAACAGCGUUUUGUUCUGUUUCGAUGUGUUUUUUAACUUGAGCAGGAAUAGUUAUAUCAAUGAACCUACAGGAAGUUUGUGAAAGUAAUUAAGAAUAUUUACAUUAAAUUUAAAGGAAGUGUUUUUAAUUUUAUAUUCGUUUGAGCUUUGAAACGAAAAAGUCGGGCCAAAUAACUUAUUUGUGGAUGAUACAUCAAAACCAAGAAACAGUUAAAUUUUAUUGAACGAACUUAGUCUAAAUAAUUAAGUUAAGACAAAACGGAUCCAUAUGUACACGUUCCUAAAAAUUGACGACAAAGACGAUUGACCGUGUACGGGCCAAUAAAAUGAGUACUUAAUUGAAUUUUGUUUUCUUGGGACUGACCUUGAAUAUGAAAGUAAAUAAAAAGAAAAGAAUGUUCUAUUAUAAAAAUUAAGCAGUGAAGCAACAGCAGCUCCUGCCAAAGUGUUCUGUACUAUACAAUCAAACCCUCAAUAUUUAACUUCACGAGCCUGUAAAAUAAAUGUUCAUAACGAAAAAAUGUUUUUUUAUGUAAUUGUAUAAUUAUAUCAGUGUCAUUAGGAUUUUUUUACUUCGGAAUUCUGAUAAGACCUUGUCUGCACUAUGAGUGUAUUUGCAUUAUGAACUGACAAUUUACUUAUGGAAUCACUCAAAUGCUUCAUAAAAUGUAAAGCUUUAUGAACGUUUUGUAUAAAGAGUAUUUGCUUAAAAUUUGCAUUACCUUUACAAUAACCCUGCUCAAACACAUGAAGUUUACUUGGUUCAACCCCAAUUUUUUAGUGCGUUGGACUGUCAUGCCAGAGAUCUUGAGUUCGAUCCCCGCCUGUGUCAUCUAAUGUUUUUUUGACGGGUACUGCCUCUUGCGAGAAAUUGAAAUUCUCCAAGAGUCAUUCUUGCCAUAAAAAGUGCUUUCUUCAAUUAGCCGUUCGGAUUCGGCUUAAAACUUCAGGUCCCCUCCAUCACACCCCUGACAACAGUACUAGCACACAGGAAUGGUUGAGAGUGGUAAAUAAAAUAAAUAAAAAAUAAACUUCUGCAUUAAGCUUAAUUAAUCACAUAAGGUUAUAAAAGUUGUGUAGUUUGUUUAUAUAUAUUUGUGAAUAGUAAUUAAUGGAAUAAAUAUUCUAAGCAUCACAAAGUAAAGUGUUCAUAUUUGAAACAGAAAAUCACUCAAUGUAUUUAUUAAGUUCUUAAAGUUCAUGACUUGAAUUAAUUCAAGAAAAGAAAACACCCAUAAAAUAUUAAGUCCUUCAAAUAAUAAAUACGAAAAAGUUGGCGAUACUUCUUCAGAUUGCAAACAUAGGCGGCGGGCCUUACUGCCUUAUUCGUUAGUAUGAAUUCUGUUGCUUCAUUCUUCGGGUUAAUAAGGACCUCAACAGAAAAGUUUAAAUCCGGUUCCGGUCACUUCAUUUCAAUAUUGAAUGUAAGAAUACAAAAGUAAAAAAUCAUCUUUCCAGCUCGAAUAUGAUUACAACAAGUCGACCUUUUUUCGGAAAACUUUAUUCGGUUCGAAAAUAGAUGGCUUUUCAGCGCCUGAUUUGGGCUGUUUAUUAGCAGUAUAUAGGACAUAUUAUAUUCAGGGCUAAUAUAAAACGUCAAGUAUCCCAAACACAUAAAACUAAUUCCAAAUCAAAUGAAUGUUAAAAUGUGGUCUAUAUGUAAAAUUAUAAGCCAACUUUCGGAUUGUCUUCAAUAGCUGGAAUAUAAUAAUAAUAUAAAUGCAUACAUCUACACAUAACUGUGCUUGAUGGUAUCAUCUGGAUACCUUUAUAGUGUUAUAAGAUAUACCUACACAACACAUGAUGUCGAUUGACCCUUAUCUCAAAUCGGUAGGAUGGUUAAGGGACCUAAACCACACAUUGUUCUUAGUUAACAUAACAAUCUCAAACGUGAAAAUCCAAUUAUAUCAAAAAGGGUUUGGUGUUUUUGAAAGCUGAAAUGCUUGUUUCUAUAUCAAAAUAUAUCGCUCCACUUUUGUACUCACAUUUCGCACUCUGAUUUUACAUUGAAUUCGAGCCCACAGACCACAUUUUGUAAAUUAAAUUGUACGAAUAUUUCAAGAAACAUCUAGAAUCGGGGGAUUUAUUUGUAGGUUCACUAGGUACACCUUAUUCUUAAAAUUCUAACCUACAUACAUAUUCAUAUGAUUUUAUAUAUACAUUCUCUGAUAUACAUAUUAUGAAGUAUAAAUGAGUAUCCUUCGGCAACCCUGAAACCAAACCUGAAAGUUUAGUGUUGUGGAGUAAAAAAAAAAUAAUUUUAUUUUCUCGUAUUGAAAGUAAAUUGAAGAGGAGAACAUUAUUUAAUACAACCGACUACAGGAGCAAUGCAAUGUAUUUUAUACAUCUGGAUACUAUGUUCUCGGUUGUUCGUAUCCACUAUACCUAGGUAUAUGUACGUACACAGAAUAUAGUAUUGGCAUUCUUUCCAUCAUUCUGAUAAUUUCUACCUUGGAAUCCUGGCAUCCAGAUUUCAUACUUUCCAACCCACUCCGAGCUCUUUGUACGUUUCCCAAUCAAUACAUUUAUGACGUUCACUCCGAUGAUGUUUUCACAGACAAAUUAUUUUUUUCUGGGAUGUCAAGCCAAUGUUGAAGUCGACACACCUUAAUAUCAAAAUUCCUGAAUAGAAUUUCGAGAUGACUACAGAGUUAUGUUGUGAGUGAAGGGACUUCAUCGCAGGAAUUAUUUAUGUCAGUGUUUGCAUAUGGAACGUGACAAACAAAAAAGUAAAUGAAAAAUCAUGCUGCAAAAUCAAAUGUAAUGUAUCGAACAUUGUAUAGACUGUUCCGCACAGCGACGACGAUGGUUUUAGCGCAUAAGGGAAAAUAUAGGCCUAAUAACAUAACAUAUGUACGUAUAUUACAAACUUCCAGCCCAUAUAACAAAUCGACGUGUACUGAAUACAUUCCUUAAAAAUUUCAGAGUUUGACUAUCAUCAUGUGUAUGUAUUUUAUAUUGCAAAUAGUUGUCAAUAUAUUUAAUAACAGCAUUUUUUCAAAUCCAAUGUUCUUUUUUUAUGUAUCAUAAAAUUCAUAAUCAUUUUUUAAAUUCCCAAUUUUCAAUUCAAAAUUAAAUGAUAUUGAGAUUGGAGUGUUUAGUGAAAGCAUGGAAAAGAAGAUGCAAUAUAAUUCUUUGAAUUUGCGCUACCUUAACUGUCAAUUUCUGAAAGAUAGAAUCGAGUUUUUGUAUAAAAAGCUUAACUCUGUUUCUCAAUACAAAACAUGUGAGUAGAAAUAAGUAUUGUUCUAUAAAAUAAGAACUGUGCUAUAAAAUUGAGUUAUCCACUUUCAGUAUUGUAGUUCGUGUUACUGAGCAAUAAUUUAUUUAAGAACUCAUGCAUUAUAAUUUUAUUAAAAAUAAACAUUCAUAAUAUAAAGAUACUUUAAAAUGUACGUUUUGAAAAUUGGGUUAAGGGUUCUCAAAAUUUAACUUAUAAAAAUGCUUUAAAUAAUAAGUGAAAUUUUUGAUAUUUGCUUUUUAACAGUACUGGUUUUGACAGUUCAAGCACAUUUCAUGUCACUUUUAGUUUAGUCAAUAAUUUAAGCAUAAAUCGUCUAUUAUAAAAAUACAUGACCUGUUAUGAACGUUCAUCGUAAUCUUCUUGCAAUUUACAAUCCGUUUAACCAUCAUACUGAGGCGCCUGUGUAGAUUGCAAACUUUGCACUAGUUCAGCGAGGAACGUAUUUGCAGUUAAAUAGUCAAGUGGACAUGCAGAACUGCAGAAUUUAGAACGAAGAGGAGCAGCUUUUUUUGCAUAAAAUCCAAUAGCUUGGUUUCCACGACACGUGCUUUCAAGAAGACGGCGCGGAGGCGUCGCACUCCACUUUUUUCGAGUUCGGUAAACAGUUUGUUUCAUUUUCACGUUUGGGACUGGUCAAUUGGCCGACUAGAUAGUGUGGUCUAGACUAUUUUUAGCAGACUCUGUUAAGACUCAUGUCUUCAGCGACAGUGCGGCUAAAAUUGACGCACAGAAAGACUACAUUGAAGCUUCUAAAAUGUUAGAAUGAGUAUGUCAACAAAACAAUAUAUUUAUGAUAUUAGAAAUAAAAUUAAACAAACUGUGAAGCAACAGCCCGUUGAGACCUAUUGUGAUUAGUGACUUAUACAAUUCUCAACCAUUCCUGUGUACAAGUAAUUGUAUAUCCAAUCCGCACGCUUUAAUUGAGAAAGUACUUUUCAUGACAAGAAUUACUCUUUGAGGAUUUCUCAAUUUUGCGCAAGAGGCAAUAUUCAUGAACAAAAUUUUAGGUGGCACAGACAGGGAUUGAACUCAAGACCUAUAGCAUGAUAGUCCUCCGCACCAACCGGUUCUACGAUAUUACAUCCACAAUAAUUACAUGCUUCAAAGAAAGUUUAUCUCUUGAGAAAAUCGAAAACACUCCAACUGUCACCUUUUUUUUUAUAAAAAUAAGGAUAUUGAAAAAAUUAUAAAUGGAUUAAACUGAUGUUCGUUUUGAAUAUCUCGAGAAUAAAAGAAGUUUUUUAGAGAACUUGAAGCGGUAUAUUUCUUAAAAGAAAUAAAACAAUUCAAAAAAGGCUACUGAAAUUCAGAAGAAUUGGUUUUCGACCACAAACCUCAAGGACAAAAACAGAUACUGAAAUAAAAAUUCUUUUUUGGUAACUAAAAUAUUGUUGCUAAUUUUUAAUUACUUUUUUAAGAAAUAGCCAACUGGUUGACAAGUUAUUUUGAAAAACAAAAAACCGGCGAAAAACUGAUAAGAAAAGGUUUUCGACUCAAGUUUUAUGAGAAAAAAGACAACUAUUUUGGGUUUAUUAAGAAAUCUACAUACAAUGUUUUUUCUUGUAAUAUGGAAAUAUAGAAAGAAUUCUUCAAGAUCCAUUUCAAAAUUAGAAAAAAAUUGAAUUUGACAUUUAAAACCAAUUAUCUUUUAAGUGAAAUUAAAUGUUCUAAUUUUUUCUAGUCAACAGUUAUAAAAAGAAACAAAAGAUGUUUUUUUUUUUAAAUACUGAUUAAGAUUAUGCAUUCCUAACGUAGAGGCAUUUAGCAAGUUAAAAUCACCGUUUACAAUAGAAAUGUUAAAUUUGUUUUCGAUUUUUUGGCAUUUGAUGAUUUCUUAAUAUACAAUAAAGAAAACAAACACCUUUGUUUUGAAAGGAUCAUGUUUAAUUUUCUUUAAAAACUGACUAAUGACGAGGUAACAAAAAUAUUCCAAAAAAGAAAGGAUCUUUGCAUAAUACUCUGAAAGGAUUACAAAAGUGUUUUCGAAAUUUUGUACUUUAGGCAAUGUAACGGCAUUUAAAA